ACGACCUUACUUGAACAGGAUCUGUUCUAUAGGCUCGUACCUCUGUGUCCUUGAGUUCUAAGGAGACAGGAAACUAAACCUGGUGGAUGAAUCGUGACCGUGCGAUCAGAGCGUGAUUAACGGCUAGUUAUGGUCACGGCUGUAGAGGAUCGUUUUCUGUCAGCUUCUGCUGGCUGGGAUGGUCACACGGUUGUCUGACAGGCA